rnacentral:rRNA from 1 species
UACGUAGGUGGCAAGCGUUGUCCGGAUUUACUGGGCGUAAAGGGCUUGUAGGCGGUUUGUUAAGUCUGGUGUGAAAUCUCCCGGCUCAACCGGGAGGGUCAUCGGAUACUGGCAGACUAGAGACGGGUAGAGGAAAGCAGAAUUCCCGGUGUAGCGGUGAAAUGCGCAGAUAUCAGGAGGAACACCGGUGGCGAAGGCGGGUCUCUGGGCCGAUACUGACGCUGAGGAGCGAAAGCGUGGGGAGCGAACAGG